CUACGGGCGGCAGCAGUGAGGAAUAUUGGUCAAUGGACGCAAGUCUGAACCAGCCAUGCCGCGUGCAGGAUGACGGCCCUAUGGGUUGUAAACUGCUUUUAUUAAGGAAUAAACCCCAUUACGUGUAAUGGGCUGAACGUACUUAAAGAAUAAGCAUCGGCUAACUCCGUGCCAGCAGCCGCGGUAAUACGGAGGAUGCAAGCGUUAUCCGGAUUCAUUGGGUUUAAAGGGUUCGCAGGCGGCGUAUUAAGUCAGUGGUGAAAUCCCCCGGCUCAACCGGGGAACUGCCAUUGAUACUGGUAUGCUAGAGUAUAGUUGGCGUAGGCGGAAUAUUUCAUGUAGCGGUGAAAUGCUUAGAUAUGAAAUAGAACACCGAUCGCGAAGGCAGCUUACGAAACUAUAACUGACGCUCAGGAACGAAAGCGUGGGGAGCGAACAGGAUUAGAUACCCCCGUAGUC
rnacentral:rRNA from 1 species